GGUUAAGCGACUAAGCGUACACGGUGGAUGCCCUGGCAGUCAGAGGCGAUGAAGGACGUGCUAAUCUGCGAAAAGCGUCGGUAAGGUGAUAUGAACCGUUAUAACCGGCGAUGUCCGAAUGGGGAAACCCAGUGCAAUUCGUUGCACUAUCGUUAACUGAAUACAUAGGUUAACGAGGCGAACCGGGGGAACUGAAACAUCUAAGUACCCCGAGGAAAAGAAAUCAACCGAGAUUCCCCCAGUAGCGGCGAGCGAACGGGGAGCAGCCCAGAGUCUGAAUCAGCUUGUGUGUUAGUGGAACGGUCUGGAAAGUCCGACGGUACAGGGUGAUAGUCCCGUACACCAAAAUGCACAGGUUGUGAACUCGAAGAGUAGGGCGGGACACGUGGUAUCCUGUCUGAAUAUGGGGGGACCAUCCUCCAAGGCUAAAUACUCCUGACUGACCGAUAGUGAACCAGUACCGUGAGGGAAAGGCGAAAAGAACCCCGGCGAGGGGAGUGAAAAAGAACCUGAAACCGUGUACGUACAAGCAGUGGGAGCACCUUCGGGUGUGACUGCGUACCUUUUGUAUAAUGGGUCAGCGACUUAUAUUCUGUAGCAAGGUUAACCGUAUAGGGGAGCCGCAGGGAAACCGAGUCUUAACUGGGCGUUAAGUUGCAGGGUAUAGACCCGAAACCCGGUGAUCUAGCCAUGGGCAGGUUGAAGGUUGGGUAACACUAACUGGAGGACCGAACCGACUAAUGUUGAAAAAUUAGCGGAUGACUUGUGGCUGGGGGUGAAAGGCCAAUCAAACCGGGAGAUAGCUGGUUCUCCCCGAAAGCUAUUUAGGUAGCGCCUCGUGAACUCAUCUUCGGGGGUAGAGCACUGUUUCGGCUAGGGGGUCAUCCCGACUUACCAACCCGAUGCAAACUACGAAUACCGAAGAAUGUUAUCACGGGAGACACACGGCGGGUGCUAACGUCCGUCGUGAAGAGGGAAACAACCCAGACCGCCAGCUAAGGUCCCAAAGUCAUGGUUAAGUGGGAA
rnacentral:rRNA from 1 species